rnacentral:rRNA from 1 species
AUUGAACGCUGGCGGCAUGCCUUACACAUGCAAGUCGAACGGCAGCACGGGUGCUUGCACCUGGUGGCGAGUGGCGAACGGGUGAGUAAUAUAUCGGAACGUACCUUAUUGUGGGGGAUAACGCAGCGAAAGCUGUGCUAAUACCGUAUAAUCCCUAAGGGGGAAAGCGGGGGACCGUAAGGCCUCGCGCAAUUAGAGCGGCCGAUACCUGAUUAGCUAGUUGGUGAGGUAAAGGCUCACCAAGGCAACGAUCAGUAGCUGGUCUGAGAGGACGAUCAGCCACACUGGGACUGAGACACGGCCCAGACUCCUACGGGAGGCAGCAGUGGGGAAUUUUGGACAAUGGGGGCAACCCUGAUCCAGCAAUGCCGCGUGAGUGAAGAAGGCCUUCGGGUUGUAAAGCUCUUUUGUCAGGGAAGAAACAGCAGCUCUAACACAGUUUGCGAAUGACGGUACCUGAAGAAUAAGCACCGGCUAACUACGUGCCAGCAGCCGCGGUAA